CCUACGGGUGGCAGCAGUGAGGAAUAUUGGUCAAUGGGCGAGAGCCUGAACCAGCCAAGUCGCGUGAAGGAUGACGGAUCUAUGGUUUGUACACUUCUUUUAUAUGGGAGUAAAGUGAGGCACGUGUUCCUUUUUGUAUGUACCAUAUGAAUAAGCAUCGGCUAACUCCGUGCCAGCAGCCGCGGUAAUACGGAGGAUGCGAGCGUUAUCCGGAUUUAUUGGGUUUAAAGGGUUCGUAGGGGGUUAAUUAAGUCAGCGGUGAAAGUUUGUGGCUCAACCAUAAAAUUGCCGUUGAAACUGGUUGACUUGAGUAUAUUUGAGGUAGGCGGAAUGCGUGGUGGAGCGGUGAAAUGCAUAGAUAUCACGCAGAACUCCGAUUGCGAAGGCAGCUUACCAAACCAUAACUGACGCUGAAGCACGAAAGCGUGGGGAUCGAACAGGAUUAGAUACCCGAGUAGUC
rnacentral:rRNA from 1 species